rnacentral:tRNA from 2 species
GGGCCGGUGGCGCGAUUGGUAAGGCGCGGGGUUCUUACCCCCGUUCGAUGUGAGUUCGAUUCUCACCCGGCUCU